rnacentral:rRNA from 1 species
AACGAACGCUGGCGGCAGGCUUAACACAUGCAAGUCGAGCGCCCCGCAAGGGGAGCGGCAGACGGGUGAGUAACGCGUGGGAACGUACCCUUUGCUACGGAAUAGCUCCGGGAAACUGGAAUUAAUACCGUAUGUGCCAUACGGGGGAAAAAUUUAUCGGCAAAGGAUCGGCCCGCGUGGGAUUAGCUAGUUGGGGGGGUAAUGGCAUAACAAGGCGACGAUCCAUAGCUGGUCUGAGAGGAUUAUCAGCCACAUUGGGACUGAGACCCGGCCCAAACUCCUACGGGAGGCAGCAGUGGGGAAUAUUGGACAAUGGGCGCAAGCCUGAUCCAGCCAUGCCGCGUGAGUGAUGAAGGCCUUAGGGUUGUAAAGCUCUUUCACCGGAGAAGAUAAUGACGGUAUCCGGAGAAGAAGCCCCGGCUAACUUCGUGCCAGCCGCCGCCGUAAUAC